ACAUUAUGAUAGUUUUUGAGAGCUUGAAUUCGCUCUCACCCUUUGUGAACAUACCUAUAACUGUUGCUUCGGCGGGUAGGGUCUCCGCGACCCUCGGGGCCUCCCGCCUCCGGGCGGGUCGGCGCCCGCCGGAGGAUAACCAAACUCUGAUUUAACGACGUUUCUUCUGAGUGGUACAAGCAAAUAAUCAAAACUUUUAACAACGGAUCUCUUGGUUCUGGCAUCGAUGAAGAACGCAGCGAAAUGCGAUAAGUAAUGUGAAUUGCAGAAUUCAGUGUUUCAUCGAAUCUUUGAACGCACAUUGCGCCCGCCAGCAUUCUGGCGGGCAUGCCUGUUCGAGCGUCAUUUCAACCCUCAAGCUCUGCUUGGUGUUGGGGCCCUACAGCCGAUGUAGGCCCUCAAAGGUAGUGGCGGACCCUCCCGGAGCCUCCUUUGCGUAGUAACUUUACGUCUCGCACUGGGAUCCGGAGGGACUCUUGCCGUAAAACCCCCCAAAAUUCCAAAGGUUGACCUCGGAUCAGGUAGGAAUACCCGCUGAACUUAAGCAUAUCAAUAGGCCGGAAGAACUUACUGAGUUUACGCUCUACAACCUUUGUGAACAACACUAUAACUGUUGCUUCGGCGGGUAGGGUCUCGCGCCUCGGCCUCCGCCUCCCCGCGGGUCGGCGCCGCCGGAGGAUAACAAACUCUGAUUUAAGACGUUUCUUCUGAGUGGUACAAGCAAUAAUCAAACUUUUACACGGAUCUCUGGUUUCGGCAUCAUGAAGAAGCGCAAAUGCAUUAGUUAAUGUGGAAUUGCAGAAAUCAGUGAAUCAUCAAUCUUUGAAGCAAUUGC
rnacentral:rRNA from 1 species